AGCGAACGAUGGCGGCAGGCCUAACACAUGCAAGUCGAACGAAGUCUUCGGACUUAGUGGCGGACGGGUGAGUAACACGUGGGAACGUACCUUUUGGUUCGGAGCAACUCAGGGAAACUUGAGCUAAUACCGGAUGAGCCCUUAGGGGGAAAGAUUUAUCGCCGAAAGAGCGGCCCGCGUUAGAUUAGCUAGUUGGUGAGGUAAAGGCUCACCAAGGAUACGAUCUAUAGCUGGUCUGAGAGGAUGAUCAGCCACACUGGGACUGAGACACGGCCCAGACUCCUACGGGAGGCAGCAGUGGGGAAUCUUGCGCAAUGGGCGAAAGCCUGACGCAGUCAUGCCGCGUGAAUGGUGAAGGUCUUAGGAUUGUAAAAUUCUUUUACCAGGGACGAUAAUGACGGUACCUGGAGAAAAAGCCCCGGCUAACUUCGUGCCAGCCGCCGCCGUAAGAC
rnacentral:rRNA from 1 species